rnacentral:rRNA from 1 species
UUGUUCUAUAAAUAAGGACCUGUAUCAACGGCAUCACGAGGGUUACACUGUCUCCUCUCUCCAAUCAGUGAAACUGAUCUCCCCAUGAAAAAGUGGGGAUAAACCUAUAAGACGAGAAGACCCCAUGGAGCUUUAAACCCAAUAGCAAUUUAGCAAAAUAUAUUCCUACUAUCUACAAAAUCAUGCUAGAGGCUUUAGGUUGGGAGGACCGCGGAGAAAAACCUACCCUCCGCAACGAAAAAGACUUAAAUCUUUACCAAAGAGCCACUACUCCAAGGAUUAGAAAACUAACGUAAAGUGACCCGAUAUCGAUCAACGAACCAAGUUACCCUGGGGAUAACAGCGCAAUCUACUUCAAGAGUUCAUAUCGACAAGUAGGCUUACGACCUCGAUGUUGGAUCAGGNUAUCCCAGUGGUGCAGCCGCUACUGAAGGUUC